GAUGAACGCUGGCGGCGUGCCUAAUACAUGCAAGUCGAGCGAACAGACGAGAAGCUUGCUCCUCUGACGUUAGCGGCGGACGGGUGAGUAACACGUGGAUAACCUACCUAUAAGACUGGGAUAACUUCGGGAAACCGGAGCUAAUACCGGAUAAUAUAUUGAACCGCAUGGUUCAAUAGUGAAAGACGGUCUUGCUGUCACUUAUAGAUGGAUCCGCGCCGCAUUAGCUAGUUGGUAAGGUAACGGCUUACCAAGGCGACGAUGCGUAGCCGACCUGAGAGGGUGAUCGGCCACACUGGAACUGAGACACGGUCCAGACUCCUACGGGAGGCAGCAGUAGGGAAUCUUCCGCAAUGGGCGAAAGCCUGACGGAGCAACGCCGCGUGAGUGAUGAAGGUCUUCGGAUCGUAAAACUCUGUUAUUAGGGAAGAACAAAUGUGUAAGUAACUGUGCACGUCUUGACGGUACCUAAUCAGAAAGCCACGGCUAACUACGUG
rnacentral:rRNA from 1 species